rnacentral:rRNA from 1 species
CCUACGGGCGGCAGCAGUCGAGAAUCAUUCACAAUGGGGGAAACCCUGAUGGGGCGACGCCGCGUGGGGGAAUGAAGGUCUGCGGAUUGUAAACCCCUGUCAUGUGGGAGCAAAUUAAAAAGAUAGUACCACAAGAGGAAGAGACGGCGAACUCUGGGCCAGCAGCCGCGGUAAUACAGAGGUCUCAAGCGUUGUGCGGAACCACUGGGCGUAAAGAGUGCGGAGGCUUUUUCGUAAGUCGUGUGUGAAAGGCGCGGGCUCAACCCGCGGACGGCACAGGAUACUGCGAGACUAGAGUAAUGGAUGGGUCACCGGAAUUCUCGGUGUAGCCGU